GACGAGGGAUCCUAGCGUUGUUCGGAAUCAUUGGGCGUAAAGCGGGUGUAGGUGGCUAUGUAAGUCAGGUGUGAAAGCCUGGGGCUUAACCCCAGAAGUGCAUCUGAUACUGCGUAGCUUGAGUGCCGGAGAGGUUAGUAGAAUUGUUGGUGUAGUGGUGAAAUACGUAGAUAUCAACAGGAAUACCGGAGGCGAAGGCGGCUAACUGGCCGGACACUGACACUCAGACCCGAAAGUGCGGGGAUCAAACAGG
rnacentral:rRNA from 1 species